AUUAGAUAUACAAGGACUAUAGUUGCCUUUUUCUCCUCUUUUUGGAGAUAUCUUGAUUGAUUUUACUUGACUCCCUCUCUACUGUUUCAUCAGGAAAGAAGUGCAUGAAGCGAGAUUUUCCAAGCACAAGGAGGAUUUUAGGGAGUGGGAAAGGAAGCUGCAAGAAAAGGAAGAGAAACUAUGUCAAGGACGGAGGAGCCUCAAUGAAAGAGAAGAAAAGGUGAAUGAUUUGGAUGUGGCUCACAAGCAUAAGGAAAAGAGUCUUAAAGAAGAACAGAAAAGGAUUUAUCCAUCUAAUAUAGCUCUGAAGAAAAGAGAUGAUGAUAUAACUCAAGGAGGUUGCAGAUGUGACUAAAAAGGAACAAGAGUUAGAGUCUUACAGAGCUGAAUUGGAGAUAAAGGAGAUGGAAUUGAAUUUUCUGGCUGAGAAGCUGAACACUAGAGAAAGGUUGAAGAUUCAGAAGCUUCUUGAUGAACUUAGAGCUGAUUUUGAUGCUGAACAACAGGAACAUAAGUUGGAUUUGAAUAAAAGGAGAAAUUUGUUUGACAGAGCUGAGAGAGAAGUUUGAUGGUUUGACACAAAGGGAAAUGGAUCUCAACCAUUCAGAGGGAAAACUCAUAGAAAGGGAGCAACCACUGGAAACUGAGUUAGAAAGGUUUAAAGAGAGAGAAAAGGACAUUGAGAGGAAGUUGAAAGCAGUAAAAGCUAAGAGAGAGAAAAGUUUCUCAAAGCCGAGGAGAAAACGCUGGAGUUGGUGAGAAAGGGAACAGUUUCUGAUAAACAAAGUGAGCUAAAUCUCAAAGAUGAGCUGUAUAAGGUAAGAGUUGAAUUUAGUCAGAAGGAACUCGAUGUUUCUGAAGCAACUGAAAAAAUUAAAGUUAGUGAAGUAGAAAGGGCUGAGCUUCUCCGGUUGCAAAUAGAGUUGAAAAGGGAGAUUCAUAGGUACAAACAUCAGCAAGAGUUGAUUUUGAAGGAGGGUGAAGAUCUGAAAGAAGACAAAAUGGUGUUCGAAAAACAGUGGGAAGCACUGGAUGAGAAGAGAACUGUUGUAACUAUAGAGUUGCAAGAACUCCAAGAAGAAAAAAGAGGCUUGAUGACUUGCGACAUACCCAAGACGAACAAUUGAGGAAAAAUAAGCUUUCCACUGAGGAUUAUGUCAGGCGAGAGUGUGAAGCUCUUAAGUUGGAGAAAGAAUCAUUUUCUGCAACAAUGAAGUACGAACAAUUAUUGUUAACUGAGAAAGCUGAAAAUGAACAUAACAUAUUGCUUUGUGAUUUUGAGGCUCAGAGAAGAGAUCUUGAGACUGAUCUGCAGAAUAAACAGGAAGAAAUGCACAAAAGUUUUGAAUGGAAGGAAAAAUCACUUCAUGACCAGAGAGAGAAAGCACUUGAUGAAAUUAGUUCUUUGAAAGAAGUUACUCAGAAGGAAAUGGACGACAUAAGAGCUGAAAGGUUUAGGUUAGAGAAAGAAAAACAAGACAUGGAAUUGAAUAAGAAGCAGUUGGAAAAUCACCAAUAUGAACUGCACAAGGACAUAGAUGCUCUAGGUGUUCUUAACAAGAAGCUCCAGGAGCAGCGCCUACAGUUUGUGAAGGAGAGACGCCAUUUUCUUGCAUCUGUUGAAAAGAUCAAGGACUGUGAAGAUUGCGGGGGAAUUGCUAGAGAGUAUGCCUCUUCUAACUUUCCAUUGGGCGAAAUAGGUGAUAAUGAAGAGUCUCUUCUUUCUCUGCCGGGAGACGAACUUACGGAAAAAGUUGCUUCUUUCGGAGAAAAUUUUGAGAGAUCUCCUGCUGAGAUUGAACGAAAAUAUUCUGAUUCUGGGAUUUCUUGGUUCCGCAAAUGCACUGCAAAGAUUCUUAGCUUGUCCCCAAAUAGAAAAGCUCUGGUCAUGGAUUCAUCUUGGCAACCUUCCGAGCCUUGUAAGAUAUUUGGUACAGAAAUAAGAGACCAAAAUAUAGCUGAAGGUCCAAGUGUGAAGCAUCUACCACCUGACAACAGUAUCGGAGGUAUGAGGCGUACAACUGUUGAUUAUCAAAGUGACAUGGAUAGUAGAAUACAAGAGGUUCGAGAGGAAUCCGAGCAAUCUGAGCCUAGAAAAAGAUCUGGAAAGGGAAUUCGUCGAACACGUUCUGUGAAGGCAGUGAUUGAAGAAGCUGCGGUUUUCCUUGGAAAGAAUGCUGAACUAUUGCCAAAUGACGGACGUCCUAAAGAUAUUAGUCAGACUGUCAAAGUAGGGGUGAUUUUAGAGUUGCUGGAACAGCAGCCAUUACCAUCCCAAAGAAGAUGACUAGCGGACAAAUUUCUCGAACAACAGUGACUGAUAUUGAUGCUAAUGAUAGUGAGGGUCAUUCUGAAAGUGUCACGACGGUGGGACGGAGGAAGAGGUGUCAACCAUCCACUUCAACUGUGCAAAAUCCUGGGAAGAGGCAUUAUAAUCUCAGACGACACAAGAUGUAAGUAGCAGUUUUCUGAAUGUGCAUAAAGUAAUUAAGCGUAGAGACGAAGAUAGCCGAUCAAUCUGCAGGUGGUGAGAAGAGUAAAGAUGCGGAAAUACAUUAUAAGGAUCGUCCUUUUCAAGCAGUAGGGAAAGAUGAAGUUGCUUCCUUUCAAGCAGUGAAAAUAGGGAAUGAGAAUGGCAGCCAAACUUCCUUGGUGCAUGUUACAUCGUAUAGGAGCACUAAAAAUCAAAAUUUACCUGUAGAUAGGGUUGUCAGGGUAAAGUAUUCGCUCUAAGGCGUCAUGCUGUUUGUUAUUUAUUUGUUUUUUCCAGGAUGCCCCAAUGUUUUUCUCUUUCUUGCUAUUGAUACUGUUUAAGACACUGCAGGAUGGCAUAAAUGUAAAUGGUGAUGCAGCAAAGUUUGUGGAGAAGAGGGAUCUAACAAAAAAGUUAAAGUAUACUCUUGAGUACUGCGGUGAAGAUGAACUUAAAGAGAACACUCUCGAGGAUGAUGAGAAUAAUAGCGAUGAGGAUGAGGAUGACAUGAGUAAACUCGAAUCUGAGCGCCGAGGUAGAGGGUCCAUUAGUAGAAAGGUGUGGCAGUUUUUUACAUCAUGAUGGUUGUCUCUUGAGUUUGCUCACAUCUCACUCUUUCAAUUUCUGAUGUAAUGUACAAGAAAUUCAAAAUUAGUGAACUUGAUAAGUUAGUAGUGUUAGGUAGCCCAUAAGUAUGUAGAUGGAUUAGCUGUUAUUGCCAACCUAUUAGAUUGUGCUUGAUGCUUCUAAAAAACUGUUGUGAAUUAAAGGGUCUAUUCGUAAUUCCUUUUUCCCCUUGAAACAGCCUAAAUUGCAAGUUUAUGCUUCAUGUAUUGAAGCAUGAUUGCUUGUGUAGAAUAUUGUGCUGAUUUUGUUUCCUUUAUUAGUGCAUAAUUAGUUGUA